rfam:Trichomonas vaginalis G3, whole genome shotgun sequence.
CCACUCGAGACUUUCGGAGGAGGUAAUGACCAGUUCCAUUGGUGCCUUUUGGUACUGUGGAUAGGGGUACGGUUUUCCACCGUACCGAAACCUAGCAGAGGGCCAGUCUGGUGCCAGCAGCUGCGGUAAUUCCAGCUCUGCGAGUUUGCUCCCAUAUUGUUGCAGUUAAAACGCCCGUAGUCUGAAUUGGCCAGCAAUGGUCGUACGUAUUUUUACGUUCACUGUGAACAAAUCAGGACGCUUAGAGUAUGGCCACAUGAAUGACUCAGCGCAGUAUGAAGUCUUUGUUUUCUUCCGAAAACAAGCUCAAUGAGAGCCAUCGGGGGUAGAUCUAUCUCAUGACGAGUGGUGGAAUACUUUGACUCAUGAGAGAGAAGCUGAGGCGAAGGCGUCUACCUAGAGGGUUUCUGUCGAUCAAGGGCGAGAGUAGGAGUAUCCAACAGGAUUAGAGACCCUGGUAGUUCCUACCUUAAACGAUGCCGACAGGAGUUUGUCAUUUGUUAAUGGCAGAAUCUUUGGAGAAAUCAUAGUUCUUGGGCUCUGGGGGAACUACGACCGCAAGGCUGAAACUUGAAGGAAUUGACGGAAGGGCACACCAGGGGUGGAGCCUGUGGCUUAAUUUGAAUCAACACGGGGAAACUUACCAGGACCAGAUGUUUUUUAUGACUGACAGGCUUCGGGUCUUUCAGGAUAUUGUUUUUGGUGGUGCAUGGCCGUUGGUGGUGCGUGGGUUGACCUGUCUAGCGUUGAUUCAGCUAACGAGCGAGAUUAUCGCCAAUUAUUUACUUUGCCGAAGUCCUUCGGUUAAAGUUCUAAUUGGGACUCCCUGCGAUUUUAGCAGGUGGAAGAGGGUAGCAAUAACAGGUCCGUGAUGCCCUUUAGAUGCUCUGGGCUGCACGCGUGCUACAAUGUUAGGAUCAAUAGGACUGCGAGCCUGAGAGGGUGCGCUACUCUUAUAAUCCCUAACGUAGUUGGGAUUGACGUUUGUAUUCAGCGUCAUGAACCAGGAAUCCCUUGUAAAUGUGUGUCAACAACGCACGUUGAAUACGUCCCUGCCCUUUGUACACACCGCCCGUCGCUCCUACCGAUUGGAUGACUCGGUGAAAUCACCGGAUGCUUACGAGCAGAAAGUGAUUAAAUCACGUUAUCUAGAGGAAGGAGAAGUCGUAACAAGGUAACGGUAGGUGAACCUGCCGUUGGAUCAGUU